AAUUUUUAGGACAGCCAUAUUUUGAAGCCUUUAAGAAAAAAAUGCCUACAGCUUUUGCAGCUAAAGGAAUAAAUAAAUUGCUAAAUAAACUGUUUUUAAUAAAUGAGCAGUCACCAAGAGCCAGUGAAGAAACCUUACUUGGAAUUUCAAAAAAAGCUAAACAAAUGAAGAUCAAUGUACAGAAUAACGUGGAUCUUGGACAGCCAGUAAAGAAUAAGAGAGUCUUCAAAGAAAAGUCAUCAGAAUUUGAUGUGAGGGCUUUCUGCAACCAGCUGAAACACAAAGCUACUCAGGUUUGUCUGGCUUCAUUAAAUUUAGCUUAUGAUUUCUGCUAAUUUGUAGAGGAUGCUUCUUACCAAGGGCAGAGAUUGAAUCUUUUCAUUUUAUCCCCAGCUCUAAGCUUAGUGCCUUCUUAGUUGUCAGUGUGUGCUU
rnacentral:sRNA from 1 species